AACGAGCGCUGGCGGCAUGCCUAACACAUGCAAGUCGAACGAGAUCUUCGGAUCUAGUGGCGCACGGGUGCGUAACGCGUGGGAAUCUGCCCCUUGCUUCGGAAUAACAGUGAGAAAUUACUGCUAAUACCGGAUGAUGUCUUCGGACCAAAGAUUUAUCGGCAAGGGAUGAGCCCGCGUAGGAUUAGGUAGUUGGUGGGGUAAUGGCCUACCAAGCCGACGAUCCUUAGCUGGUCUGAGAGGAUGAUCAGCCACACUGGGACUGAGACACGGCCCAGACUCCUACGGGAGGCAGCAGUGGGGAAUAUUGGACAAUGGGCGAAAGCCUGAUCCAGCAAUGCCGCGUGAGUGAUGAAGGCCUUAGGGUUGUAAAGCUCUUUUACCAGGGAUGAUAAUGACAGUACCUGGAGAAUAAGCUCCGGCUAACUCCGUG
rnacentral:rRNA from 1 species